rnacentral:lncRNA from 1 species
UUUGAUAAUAUUGUCUUGGAUGAAUUGAAUGGAAGUUUGGAUGAUCAUGGCCAACUUGUAUUCCCUUUCGUUCCAAAUAAUUGGUCUUGGCUGAUCUAUUUCCAUGUACGCAACAUCUUUUGGUAAUCCAAUUCCUGUAUAGUAGCAAUAUCUUGUUUCUCCAUUCAAAUAGCUUGGAUCAUGGACAGCUUAUUCAUGAUAAUAUUGGUUUCAAAGUUCAUAAAAAAGGAAUACUUUGUAGGCACCUUUAGUUUCUUUUCUGAUUUAUGAACAUGGUUGGAGGAAAAAGCACAUUGAAAUGAAAGGUUCAUGUGCCAUGAUUUAGUUAUUCAUAACUUAAAUAGCUUGAAUCAUGGACGGCUUAUUCAUGAUAAUGUUGGUUUCAAAGUUGAUAAAAAACGAAUACUUUGUAGGCACCUUUAGUUUCUUUUCUGAUUUAUGAGCAUGGUUGGCGGAAAAAGUACAUUGAAAUGAAGGGUUCAUGUACCAUGAUUUAGCUAUUCAUAACUUACAUUGAGACUGAUCACAUGAUUCUAAAUUUAUGUUCCUUUGGCACUUCAAUAUCGUAGCUAACAAGUAAGAA